AAUGAACGCUGGCGGCGUGCUUAACACAUGCAAGUCGAACGAGAAACCCCGGCUUGCCGGGGGAGUAAAGUGGCGCACGGGUGAGUAACGCGUGGGUAAUCUACCCUCGAAUUGGGGAUAACACAUCGAAAGGUGUGCUAAUACCGAAUAAGACCACGAUGGCUUCGGCCAUUGGGGUCAAAGAUGGCCUCUGCUUGCAAGCUGUCGUUUGAGGAUGAGCCCGCGUCCCAUUAGCUCGUUGGCGGGGUAACGGCCCACCAAGGCAACGAUGGGUAGCUGGUCUGAGAGGAUGGCCAGCCACACUGGAACUGGAACACGGUCCAGACUCCUACGGGUGGCAG
rnacentral:rRNA from 1 species